rnacentral:ncRNA from 1 species
GAUGAGUGACACAGGUGCGUGAAUGAACGAGGUUCCCGCUGUCCCUAACAGCGAAACCACAGCCCAGGGACCGGGCUCAGCAGAAUCAGUGAGGGCAGGAGACCCUGUUGAGCUUGACCCCAGUCUGGCACUGUUAAGAGAUGCGAGAGGUGUAGAAUAAGUGGGAGGCUGGGUGCGUGCUUGGCAUGGCAGGGCCACCUGGCUGUUGGUGAAAUACCACCACUCUGAUCAUUUCUUCACUUACUCAGUGAGGC